rnacentral:rRNA from 1 species
UACGGAAGGCAGCAGUGGGGAAUAUUGCACAAUGGGCGCAAGCCUGAUGCAGCCAUGCCGCGUGUAUGAAGAAGGCCUUCGGGUUGUAAAGUACUUUCAGUCGUGAGGAAGGUGUUAAGGUUAAUAACCUUAGCAAUUGACGUUAGCGACAGAAGAAGCACCGGCUAACUCCGUGCCAGCAGCCGCGGUAAUACGGAGGGAGCUAGCGUUGUUCGGAAUUACUGGGCGUAAAGCGCACGUAGGCGGCUUUUGUAAGUUAGAGGUGAAAGCCUGGAGCUCAACUCCAGAAUUGCCUUUUGAUACUGCAUGGCUUGAAUCCAGGAGAGGUGAGUGGAAUUCCGAGUGUAGAGGUGAAAUUCGUAGAUAUUCGGAAGAACACCAGUGGCGAAGGGCGGGCUCGACUGGGACUGGGUAUUGACGCUGAGGUGCGAAAGCGUGGGGAGCAAACAGGAAUUAGGAUACCCG